CCUAUUCUUGCUUUCAGCCACAACAUUUAUCUUCUUCGGAGUUAUCAAUGCUUGCUGCACCUAAUGAAUCUAAAUCCCAUCUAGCCGCCGCACCUUUCAACUCUAAUCAUCCGUCUCCGUUCACAAUUUCAGUAACUCUUAACCCCUCAUUUUUUCUUUAUUUUCCAAUGCCGACUCACACCAUUCACCAACCUAGCCGUAUCCCACCAAACCACUAAACCGACCCCCGACUCGCCUCUGCCGUCAGUUUGACUGGUCACCGCUUAUCUGACAUCGUCGAUCCUCAUUCCAAACAACCAUGGUGAGAACAAGAAACCAAGGGGCCGAAAAUCCCUUCUAAUCGAUGAACCACUAUUGUCACCGCUUCUCUACACCACCGUCAAUUGUCGACGUUACAAGUCCAACAAUCACGCACACCACUACGAGCACCCGAACCAGUCCACAUUCCUAACGCUCUGAUUGCUCUUUCUCCAUCGGCCUGUCGUUCCUUUUGGUCGCAGGGUUUUGUUGGUCCUUCACGCCCACGGUAGUACCACCCUUCAUCGGCGUCGUCAUCAUUUUAUUCUUUGCUAACUAUCGUAUCCUCUCAUUCGAUGCUGAUGUAUUUCGUCCUAUUCAAUGCAUUCGACAACCCCAAAAAAAAUCUGAUGAGAGGAUUUCGGUACCAGGUUUCUGAUGGGGACAUCGAUGACGGCACAACCAGAUCACGCCUCAUCUUCCCACUUCCAUACCGGGCACCUUCAUUGCCUUCGUUUCGUUUGUAGCAAGCUCUGGUGGCAUUCCUAUGCCAUCUGACGAACCACCCACUCAUUUUAAGAACCCCGAGAGGCACCGGAGAAGCCAGACCUAUGUUGUCCCAACCCAAGAAGAAUUGAAAUUCUUCUUGCGAUUCGACGACGAUGAGCAAGGUUCAACAACAUAUGACACCAUGUCACGAAUUAUGGUUAUUUGAUCUCUUUGCUUGAGAUGCCGAAGAACUUUGAUAUCGAUGUCGCUUACUCGGCUCUUACUAGCUGGCGAAGCAAACUUACAAUACCAGGACGAUGAAGGGAUGUCACAUCCAUGACCCGACACUUCGAUACAUCUACUGAUUUCAAACAUACAACUACUCAGGACGUAACGACACCACUCCUGUUUGAAUAAGGUUGAGUUGUUCUUUUAAUAGUGUAUGCUUACCAACACUAAGGUAAAUUUGUGGUUUUGGUUUGCCCAUGCCUUUUAAUGUGUUGUGAGCUUCGAUCGCCCACUUAUUCUCAACCCUUACAUUACAAAUCUAGUCGUUUGUCUUUUUUCAUUAACUUUCGAUGUUUCAUAAUUCACUUAUGCAUUUUCUAUGGAUGGUUUAGAUGAUAAUUCCUUGGAUAUAAUAGGAUUACUUGUUGGCAUUCCCGACGCUCCGUACUUUGUUCCUACGGUACCAUGACCCCUAGUGGUGAGUGUAUCUUUCUUCGGGGACUACACCUCCACACCCGAUGGACGAUAUGUAACCAGCUAUACAAGCACAAUUUAAUGAAGUGCAUGGUCGUAUUAACUCCAUCGAAUCUAACAUUGUCAAGAUUUUAUUCUAUCUUUGCUCGGGCACCUCUCGUCGAGGUCACGGUCGCGGUCGUUGUUAGACAUAAGGGGUAUCUCUAUUACCUCUCCUAUGUUUUUAAUUUUGUAUUGGAACAAUACGCUUUAAGUGAA